AGAGAUUAGAAUGUGAAAGAUCCCCAACACAAAAUGAGUCUGUACCUACCACACAACUCUUUCCUAUAGGCCUUCCUCAAAUGCCUUGCGGUAAUUCUCUGAAGACUAUGGUUAAGGCAGUAGAGCUGAAGUAGAUCCUUCCAAGAUUCCUGACCUUCACCAAGCACACCACAGGAAUUUCCAAAGCCUGAGGAUGGAGCAUGAGAACUAAGGACCAUCAUCAAGCACGAAGCAACAGUUGCCAAAGUUUGGAGAAUCUGUCAAGGGUGGAGAGAAGCUAUACCAAAGGACCUCACGUCCAAGCUCAUCUCUGGUGGGAGAAGAUCAGGGAUGAGGGCAAGCCUUUCACACUGUGUACAUUUCCCACCACUUGGAUUUUCUGA
rnacentral:lncRNA from 1 species